CUGAAAGUCGGGUUACUAACACUACACUGAAUAUUUUUUUAUCAGAUGACCUCCUAUAUAAGGACAAAAAUCAGCAGACAACGGGUGAAGUACGUUCAAAUUAAGUUAUUUCAACAGUCUGACUUGUGAUGCGACUGUUCGCAAAAAAAUGUGCCUACAUGUUGGAGACGAGAGAGGAGUCUUCCACUCUCAGAUUCGGAGAGGCUAACUUCAGCCCUGUAGCUGUCCGACCUUUUCCCAUGACGAAGGAGAAGAACGACCACCAUUCUAACCGAUACCCCUGUCAAGGUGCCCUGGAGGAUGAGAAAACAGGUGAUACCAAAAGCCAAGCGCAGCUUGCAGAAACAGUGUGGCAAGAGUGCUCAGAAGAGAGCAACUAAUUAGGAUGAACAGGAAGUUGUGCGGAAGAUUUUGGCUCAUCCAUGCCAGGGCAGAUCUGGGUGCAGUGCUUGUUCAGUCAAGGGUGGGCACACAAGGCCUACACUGAAGGAGAGGAGAUCUACAUCUGUCACUGAUAGACAGAGUAAACAAAUUACAGUUUUCUACACCAACUUCAAACUGCUGAAAAUACAAUAUUUUUGGUAAUUGAAAAUAUAUACUGAACAAUAAUAUAAACGCAACAGGGAUAGGCCCACCCUCUUGGGAGCCAGGCCCACCCACUAGGGAGCAAGGGCCAGCCAAUUAGAAUGAAUUUUUCACCAUAAAAGGGCUUUAUUACAGACAGAAAUACUCCUUAGUUUCAUCAGUUGUCCGAGUGGCUGGUCUCAAUCGAUCCCGCAGGUGAAGAAGCCGGAUAUGGAUGUCCUGGGCUGGUGUGGUUACACGUGGUCUGUGGUUGUGAGGCCGGUUGGGGUUACUGCCAAAUUCUCUAAAACUACAUUAUGGUAGAGAAAUGAAUGUUCAAUUAUUUGGCAACAGCACUGGUGGACAUUCCUACAGUCAGCAUGCCAAUUGCACGCUCCCUCAACACUUGAGACAUCUGUGGCAUUGUGUUGUGUAACAAAACCGCCUGUUUUAGUGGCCUUUUACUGUCCCCAGCACAAG
rnacentral:lncRNA from 1 species